rnacentral:rRNA from 1 species
UCCGGUUGAUCCUGCCGGAGGCCACUGCUAUUGGGAUUCGAUUUAGCCAUGCGAGUCGAGAGGGUUCGGCCCUCGGCAGACUGCUCAGUAACACGUGGAUAACCUACCCUUAGGUGGAAGAUAAUUUCGGGAAACUGAAAAUAAUAUUCCAUAUAUCUAGUCUGCUGGAAUGCAUCUAGAUAAAAAGCUCCGGCGCCUAAGGAUGGGUCUGCGGACUAUCAGGUUGUAGUCAGGGUAAAGACCUGACUAGCCUACGACGGAUAUGGGUUGUGAGAGCAAUAGCCCAGAGACGAUAUCUGAGACACGAUAUCGGGCCCUACGGGGCGCAGCAGGCGCGAAAUCUUCACAAUGUGCGAAAGCACGAUGAGGGGAUCCCAAGUGCUAGCACGUAAGUGUUAGCUGUUUCUUAGUCUAAAAAACUGAGAGAGUAAGAGCUGGGUAAGACGGGUGCCAGCCGCCGCGAUAAUACCUGCAGCUCAAGUGGUGGCCGCUAUUAUUGGGCCUAAAACGUCCGUAGCCUGUUUAGUAAAUGCCUGGGUAAAUUGUGUAGCUUAACUAUACGAAUACCGGGUAGACUGCUAAACUUGGGACCGGGAGAGGCUAGAGGUACUCCUGGGGUAGAGGUGAAAUUCUGUAAUCCUAGGGGGACCACCAGUGGCGAAGGCGUCUAGCCAGAACGGGUCUGACGGUGAGGGACGAAGCCCUGGGGCGCUAACCGGAUUAGAUACCCGGGUAGUCCAGGGUGUAAACGCUGCUUGCUUGAUGUUAGUUGGGCUCCGAGCCCAACUAGUGUCGGAGAGAAGUUGUUAAGCAAGCUGCCUGGGAAGUACGGUCGCAAGACUGAAACUUAAAGGAAUUGGCGGGGGAGCACAGCAACGGGUGGAGCGUGCGGUUU